AGUUUGUGUAAAAUGGCCAGUCAA
rnacentral:siRNA from 1 species